rnacentral:rRNA from 1 species
UACGUAGGGGGGCAAGCGUUGUCCGGAUUUAUUGGGCGUAAAGAGCGUGUAGGCGGCCAGACAGGUCCGUUGUGAAAACUCGAGGCUCAACCUCGAGACGCCGAUGGAAACCGUCUGGCUAGAGUCCGGAAGAGGAGAGUGGAAUUCCUGGUGUAGCGGUGAAAUGCGCAGAUAUCAGGAAGAACACCCGUGGCUAAGGCGGCUCUCUAGUACGGUACUGACGCUGAGACGCGAAAGCGUGGGGAGCGAACAGG